rnacentral:rRNA from 1 species
UACAGAGGGUGCAAGCGUUGUUCGGAAUUAUUGGGCGUAGAGCGCGUGUAGGCGGCUUUGCAAGUCGGGUGUGAAAGCCCUCGGCUCAACCGAGGAAGUGCGCCCGAAACUGCAGAGCUUGAGUGCCGGAGAGGAUGGCGGAAUUCCCCAAGUAGAGGUGAAAUUCGUAGAUAUGGGGAGGAACACCGGUGGCGAAGGCGGCCAUCUGGACGGUAACUGACGCUGAGACGCGAAAGCGUGGGGAGCAAACAGG